AAUGCCAAAAACAAUUUACCCACCUACAUGGGUACAAUGCCGAUAAGACCUGGUCCUAGUCGAUAAGAGUAUAGCAUUAAGUGCAAUAGAUAAUAAAUUGGUGUGAUUGAAAAUAAACAAAAAGGUGCAUUCUAAUAAUAGGUGACUUAAAUAGAAAGAUGGUAAUUGAACAAGAUGAAAGUGAUAGUUUUAAACAGAGAAAAGGAAUUGCUAUGGAUAUCCUACCAAAAUACACUGGUGUGCCAACAGAUGAUGAGAUUAAACCAAAAGAAAAGCCUUGGCAAAGGGUACUAUACGAAAUGUCGAGGAAAGGGAAACAUUUGUACGAAGCAGUUGACGCCAUACCAAGUCCGUAUAUAGUCCUGUUGUUGGGUGCAUAUUUCUUACUAGGAUACCUGACGCAGCUGGUGGAAGAUGAGUUGCCGACGCCGCUCCGAGAUUCAGAUAUUAACCGAGACACAACAGACAGAGUCAGCGAGGAGUCGUCGUGGAGAUAUCUAUACGAGAUAAUGGGUGAGGAGCCCAGGGUCUGCGGCACGGAAUACCAUCUAAACAAGACCAGGGACAUGAAGGCGAUAGUGGACCGCAUAGCUGUCAAUGCCAACCAGAAUGUUAGGACUGACUGGCAGAUUGUCACAGGAGAUUACUUCUUAAAGUCAGCGGCGCCAUUUGUCAGCUACUACGACCGCGCCUCCAACAUUGCAGCGCUGUUGGAAGGAGAGAGUGGUUUCCAUGGCAACGGCACCAUAGGCAGUUCGAUCCUCGUCAACUGCCAUUACGAUUCUGUACCGUAUGCCUUGGGGGCAUCAGACAACGUGAUAUUUUGCGCCGCGAUGGCCGAGACUUUAGCGAGGAUGUCCAAGAGGAUCAAGAAGCUCAAACACAACAUCAUAUUCCUGUUCAACGGCGCCGAGGAGAAUCCUUUACAGGGUAGCCACGGCUUUCUCCAGCAUCCUUGGUCUAAGGGUGUGACGACGCUCGUAAACUUGGACUCCGCUGGGAGCAACGGGAAGGCCACUAUAUUUCAGGUGACUGACCCGAGGAUCCUGAGCGCCUACAAGGCGGCCGUGACCCGGCCCAGCGCUCAGAGCCUGGGGGAGUUCCUCUUCUCCUCAGGGGUCAUACCGUCCGAUACGGAUUUCAGGAUAUUUAGAGACUUCGGAGACAUUCACGGUGUUGACAUAGCGUUCACGAAGUGGGGCAACCUGUACCACACCAGGUUCGACCGCCCGGAGUACAUCCGGCCGGGCGUGCUGCAGUGGGCCGGGGACAUGCUGCUGGGUCUCCUCACCCAGCUGGCUGACCGGGACGACAUCGGACACAAGGUCCCCCCUGUCGGCGCCGUGUACUACGACUACCUCAACUGGUUCGUGGUGUGGCAGUCGCCGGCGCUGUCCCUCCUGGUGGACGCCGCCGCGAUCCUGGCCGCCCUCGUCAGCACAGCGCACUACGUGUGGCUCGUGGGGCCUCGGUUGUCAACGGUGCGUGAGCUGGCGUGCGCCGUGGCGGGUCGGGUGGCAGCCCUGCUGAUCGGGGCGGGGGUGGCGGGUCUAAUCACCCUGCUGAUGGUGGCCACCACGGUGCAACUGCGGUACCUAUCUCGACCCUGGCUGGUGGUGGCGCUGUACUGGGUGCCGUAUCUGGUCAGCGCCGUGACCGCGUCCCACCUGUAUGACUCCUGGAGGAGCCGCAAGAGCGGAUUGAACAGAUCGAUUCGCACCUUACAAGCCAUGACCGGCACCCGGGUCGUGCUGACAGUGCUAUUGUCAGUGUCGAUGUGCGUGCCGAGCUUGGCGACGGCGCGCUACGCGCUGAGCGUGCCGCUGCUGAUGACGUCCGUAACGUCACUGGUGACGUCAUCCGUCGUCCGAACCGUCCGCCUGAAGGCCUACCAACACCUAGUACUGGAGUGCGUGGUGUCGCUGCCGUGCGUGAUGUUCACGAUGAGCCUGGCGCUGCGGCUGAACGCUCUGCUGCUGCCCACGGUCGCGCGCUCGGCGUCUGCGAAUCCCGACCUGGUCGUGGCCGCCGUCAAUGUCGCCCUCGCCGCCGUUGUCAGCGCCGCCGUGUCCGGGGUGGAGCUACUGUUCUCGAGGCGGCGCCUGUGGCUGUCCCUGGCGGGGCUGGGCGCCGCGGCCGCCGCCCUCGCCCUGACGCCGCUGGAGCCCUACGCGGUCUCCGUCCCCAGCGUGCAGAGGCACUACUGGUUUCACACACAAAUAACGACAUAUAAUAUAAACGGCGAACAAACAGAUCAGACCACUGGAGUCUUUGUAUCGAGACAGGACGCCUACACCACGGAGCGAGUGUUGCAAGCUCUAAAAACUAAAGGGCUAGAGGCUUGUUCCUGUACACGGGGGGGCCCACCGCCACUGACCCCCCCGCGGGCCUGAAGCUGUCCUCCCGCAGCUGCGUUGGAGACACUUGUGUCUACAGCUUUACGAUGACCGGGACAGCACAUAACCUGAUAACGCUACUGCCCUCGGAGGGGGUCACGCUGACGGGGUGGACGCUGUCGUCCCCCGCGUCCCCCUCUACGCAGUGGGGGGGCAGGCCGCUCUACGUC
rnacentral:misc_RNA from 1 species